CACUGAGAACACAUCAAGUAAUACUGAGUCAGUUCUUGAACUAACAUCAAGGCACUGCCACACGCAAGCAGAGAUGCUCCAGUAAAUCCACUAAAAACAACACGCACUACCUUUGAUACUUUAAAAGGUUGUCCAAAUCAUUCAAUUGUCAGACUCGCAACAGUAAAUAUUCUCCGACUUCUGUAGUCCUCCACGGAAGCGGAUUUGUGUUGAAACAAAACACAAACAGUAGCAAACAUCUGCUUUUACUUUCGAAGACGGUGAUCAAAAUUUUUGUCUCUCUUCUCACAUUACGUAGCAACCAGAAACUGAAUCUUAAUUGAUGUACAUUUUCUGCGCUGUCAAUUUGAAACAAUGUACUGUUUUGGAAUAUAGAGAUAGAAAUGACUAAUUGCGAAAAUUAUCAACGGAUUAUUAUCUGGAGUGGGCGGCUCGGUGGUCAACUGAUUAGUAUGUUCGCCUCAUCGUAAAGAGGUCGUGGGUUUGAUUCGGGCUAAGGCCUUCCUGUGUGGAGUUUGCAUGUUCUUCCCGUGACUGUGUGGCUUUUCUUCGGGUCCUCCGGUUUUCCCCCGCAUUCCAAAAAAUAUGCAUGGCAGGUUUAACAAAACACUCAAAAUUAUCCCAUGGUGUGAUUGUGAGCGUGAAUGCUUGUUUGUCGAUAUGUGUGCCCUGUGAUUGGCUGGUAACCGGUUCAGGGUGUACCCCGCCUACUGCCCGAAAGAUAGGUAGGAUAAGCUCCAACAUGCCCGCGACCCUCGUGAGGAUAAACGAAUAUGAAAAGGAAAAUUAUAGUCAUGAUGAGAGUGUCUCUCCUGCCAAAGAGGAACUCACUUUUAAAUUGCUCGUUAUUCAUGUAUUUCGUUUUAAACGACGUGUUUAUUGACAUAGUCACAAGUCUAAUCAAUUGAAUUACAGGGAGUAAUGUUGCAUUGCAAAUAUUUUGAUGACAUAUAAGAAAAGACAAAUGGAGAAAAAAUGGACUACAAGGCCUAUCAAAGAGUGAGUACAGUACAUUUUUGGCCAUCCUUUACAUACAAUUGAUUUUUUCAUUUCACAUUAACUGUAGUUAUUUUUUGCAAUGCUAGAACUUCAAAGGCCCGCUUAAAGCGUCGCGCUAACAUUUAACGCUUGCUCAGUAAAUAUCUAUGCAAAACUAUUCGAGCAUUUGAACCCGCUCAUGCCAUAAACAAAACGUUCAUGGGUUUACAUGUUUAAUCCUCCGACACGGUGAUUUCAACUACGAGCUUGUCCACUGUCUCCACACAGUUGCGGUUCCAAUCUUUAAGAGACGCUUCAGGGCGGGAGAAAAAAAAAUGUCGGUCUCACAUUCCCAUGGUUGUUUUUAUGGCAAGGUGACACGCAACAGAGCAAGCAAGCGAGGUUCCAACACGUCAAAGCUGCCGUACCUGAGCGUGGUGAACUUCGAAAAUUCCCAACUAUCGGCAAAAAAAAAAAUGUCGAGAGAAAGCGUAAGCCUUCAAGUGCGUCUGCUGCUAGGUCGAUGCAAUCGUGUCACAUAUUUGUGCUCAAAGGGCCACUUCCUGCUUUGGUGUCUCCGUGGUGACGUCACCGACACAGGUGAGCCCCAGCUCGUCUCAGAAAGUGCACAUCGACCACUUUUUUCAAACCGUUUUCACCCUUUU